CUGGCAGGGAAUUUUGUAGCUAUUGGUUCAAAAGAAUCACCGACAAUCGAGAUAUGGGAUCUUGACGUUAGAGACGAGGUGCUACCUUGUAUACAAUUAGGAGGAAAAGAGGAGAUGUUAGUGACUAAGAAAAAGAAGAAUAAGAAAGAUAAGAGUAAGAAAGAGAAGAGUAAGAAACAG